rnacentral:rRNA from 1 species
GACGAACGCUGGCGGCGUGCUUAAUACAUGCAAGUCGAACGAGCCUGCCCUUUUUUGGGUGGGUUGAGUGGAGAACGGGUGGGUAUAACGUGAGUAACAUGACCCAUGCUUAUGGAUAACGCAAUGACGGGGGUGCUAAUCCGGGGUGGGCUGGUGCUGCCGCCUGGUGGUUCCGGGAUAGGUUCACCUUUUUUCUGUGGUUCAGGUGUGGGAUGGGCUCGCAGUCGAUCGGGUUGUUGGUGGGGUGAUGGCCUACCAAGGCGGUGACGGGUAGCCGGCAGGAGAGGGUGGACAGCCACACUGAGACUGGGUCACGACUCAGACUCCUGCGGGAGGCAGCAGUGGGGGGUAUUGCGCAAAGAGCCGAAGCCUGACGCAGCGACGCCGCGAGGGAGGCGGAGGGCUUCUGGUUGUGAACCUCUUUGGCCGGUGGAAUAGGCGCCCACGUGUGGGGUUCUUACUGUAGCCGGGUUAAGAAGCGCCGGCUAACUACGUG